rnacentral:lncRNA from 1 species
CUCUAUGUACCCUGAUUUGGAGAGAUUCUCUGUGGACUGUGCUCGGUGGGGACAGCCAGGAGGGGCAAUGACAACUUUUGGCCCAAAUGCUGGGCAUUCUCUUUGCAGAGCUCCAUGCAGAUCACCAAGGAGCCUCUUGACAACUCUUCCUCCUGGAACCAAAGGCAGCAGCACCGUAAGACCAACAGUGGCCCAUGUUGGUCUAGGGUGCAAGUGAGCAUGGUAGGGUCUCUACAGUGUGGAAAUGAAUCCACCCUGAACCUACAAGAGGCCUGCAUGAUGUGAACAGUCCAGGCAGGCACACAGCAGAAGUUGGUGGGGUUGCUGGUGCCAUCCUCCCCAAUGAGACCCAUCUCCUACUUAACCACCUUCCUGCAUUCAUGCUGGGACUUUGACAUUGUCCCAUAUUCUGUGGCGAAGCUCUUCAGUGGCACCAUCGCGCGCGUUUUGGACACCCGUCCAGAAUGGGGCCAUCUGCCGUACAUUCCCAAAUUCAAGAUCCAAGAGGCCUGCGUGCAGGUGAACUCACCUGGAGCAGACGUGGAGCCUCCCUUGCUCCUUCCCCUUGCUCACGGGGAGCAUCCAGAGCCCUGCAAGGCAGAAACGGAAGGUGAGGGACGCAGCAGUCUGGAAGGCUUCCGUGGCUUUUGGUUGGGCACUCGGAUUCCCAGAACUGCAGGGAUGUCUCUUCUGUGCCUGACAGGUCACUGGGAAGUGACUAACACUGCCCAGCUUUCCUCCUUGCAGCUCCUGCUCCAUAUCCGGAGCAACACGGGCCAGCUCUGCAGCCAGAGCCAGCACCAGAGAAAGAGCCUCCUCUGGAGACAGGAGAGAAGCAGAAGCCAACUCCACAGCACUCCGGUGUGUCUUCUGCGGCUGAGAAGGGCGGAUCCCUGCAGAAGGUGCUCUUGGCCUUCUCUCCCAAACUGCUGGCAGAACAGCUGACCUUGAUGGACGCGGUGAGCAGCUGAGCUCUGUGGGCCAGGGCAAGGGUAGCCCACUCUUCUGGCACGGACCUUCUCAGUCCUGACAUUCCCAGAUUACCAGAUCAAGGUUCCUCAUUCUACAAACUGCGUCACCUCUGCUCGUCUCAGCCCCGAGCCACUCCUGGCCUCGUGUGGAUGUAGACACUAGGACAGGGCACCCCCGUACCCGCUUCACAGAGCGCCCAGAGGGUCCACUGCGAUUGGACAAAUGGAACACAGGGUGAGGACUCGGCCCAACUGGUAGAGGAGAGUGUUCACUGAGGUGCAGGCGGGUGCAUGUGUCACCUUGCCACCGUCCCAGGAG